rnacentral:lncRNA from 1 species
CAGGUUCAACAAUCUGGAUCUUCAUUGCAUACAUUUGAUCAAGGUUUUAAAGGAGAUUCCUUUACAUAAAAUAAUAGGGUAUUUACAAACUUUUGGCUAACUAUUACAGCAGAAGCUAUACGAUGACACAACUCUAGUGUUUUGCUAUAGACUUAAACCAUCUAUCUAAUCUAUACUUGAGAAUUAAGUUAGGAUGAGACUAACUUAUAUGAUUGAACUCCCGGCUUCGGCAAGACUCCAAAUUAACUCUGAAAAAGGUGGGGUUGAAGUAAGGGUGAGUACAACAUACUCAGCAAGCUAUUAUAUUCAAUAAUAAAUGUAUGAAAUGGUAAUAUUUGAGUAGAGCUAGGUUUAAUUGCAGAAAGCUGAGAAUAAAGAAGUAGAAAUCCUGAAAUAUUUGAUAUGCAACAGUAUUUAAUAAAGUUUGAAAUUAUGUUUCUAACCAAGAUGCCAUUGUGAGUCCCAAUGCUUGAUAACCGUGAGCACGGCUAUUUGAAUAGUUUUAAUAAUAUUCAUACUGCAGUAGAUGUACGCUUUACCCGCAAUCCAUGACAUGCCAAACACAUUAGCUUUGUCAUGGCAAAGCUUUUCGGUUACUAACAUCAGUGGUACCUGUUCCAUGAACUCUAGUCCCCAUGCGCUCUGAACGUAAUGUUAUCAGCAGCGUAAGGAGUUUUGGCGUUCCCGAGGUUUUUAGAGAGAACUAGUUGAGAGACCCCGUCAUCUCAAUCAGGUUUUCAUAAUUCACACACACAGCUCACGAGAUAAUCAAGAUAUUUACCUGCGCCUCGGUACAUAUCACAAUCGCCCUGCUUGGCGUAAGUUUGCCUCCUGCGCGAGGACUUAAGAAGAACCACUAUACAGAGGUACCACCUUUGCUAGAUAACUUAAUCAGCUAGGUCUAUGCCCAUACGAGAAUUGUGGUCGUACUCGUAUGUUCUUCACAUGUACUUGGCAAUCUUAUGUCGGUUGGAACAGUAGUAGCCACCCGGAAAUCAACCAUUUCUACCGUACUGUCCCAAUCUAAGUUCAUUAUGUUUUAUGCAGUCUAACUAGGCAGGGCUAAGCAAAAGCUAGCAUAUCUAGUUUGCUAUGUUCAGGUUAUGCAUUUGAAAUCAUGUGUGACUAAUGCAUAGAAUAGAGAUAUAGAAUAUAGGGUAUUUAUGCUCAAAGGAGAGGAAUAAUAACUUGCCUUGCUCCAACGCAGAUAAAAAUCCGAUAUAGGCAACCUGAUUAUCUGAUCCUUGAAACACCACAGGUUGCCAUCCAAAAUAUAAUAGACUCUACUAUAGAAGAGGAAGAUCCAAAUUCAAUAAAAGCCAUAGAAUAACAAGAAAACGACAAACGGUUAAGAGGCUAGGGUUUAGGGUAGGGUAUAAGGAUUAUUAGGCUAAUAUUUUAUAUGCAGGUUCUAAAGAGUUGGUGGCUGGGGUGGAAAGGGAAUUAAGAGGCUAAGGUCACCUAUGUUUUAUGUGCAGACUCUGAUUGGUUGGUGGAUAGGGAGUACAGUGGAUAAUUGAAUUGGUUGAGCAGAUAUGUGACUGGUAUUGGCUGAUAAUAGGUUUGGGUAGGAUUAUACUUAGGGUUUGGUUAUAUUUAGGCCGAUUGAGGAGUAGGGAAAUAUAUCGGCCAGGCUCUAUAUUUUAUGUAUAGGUUCUGGGUAGAUGGAGAGUAGGUGGCUAAGAUAUGGCGGAUAAGUAAUAUUGUAGUGGAUGUGGGAUUUGGAUGGUAGGCUGAUUAAGGUUUCAGUUGUCUAAGCCGAUAUCGAGGUACGAUAAAUAUCGGCUAGGGUUUGGGUGUUCGCAAGUCGUCGCUAAAGCAUGACGACUAGGUUUGGUGUCUUCUCUAGCCGGUGUCAAUAGACAAUAUAACAGCCAGAGGGAUGGGAGGUUUGUACAGGUUUAGCGAGGCAGAAGUGUUACUUUGACAACCGUGAGUGGCGGCGGAGCGGCUAGGAUCACACAGGGCCCGAGAGCUAACUGUGCGGCGUGCUAUGGAGGUCAAGGAAAUAGUGAAGCUCCGACCACUGUACGCAUCGAGGCGUGGGGUGCCAGGAGCAGCACUUCGACCUUGGGUUUGGUUUUGCCGGGCUUUACAACCAAUGGUUCGACGUCGGGGCCAAUAGACCGCAAACGUCCCCAUGGAAGGUGUAAAGUUCCAACCGACGGCUUUUUAGUGGCUAAAGGGUAUUUUGGGAUAAAAGAAAAUAUUUAAAAAGGCAAAUAUAAAUUCAAAUAAAAUAGCAAAUUGGGAAAUGAAGCAUUUGAAUUUAUAUGAAUUUAGGUCCAGGUUUCACUGAGAUCGGAUCUACGGUUUAGGAGAUAUGAGCUUCUAAAGAAUAGGAUUUGAAUUAAAUCUAGAAAAUAUGAAAGGUUACUAUUCAUGGGCCUACCUGUCAGUGUCUAUUCCCUUUUCUCUUCUUUCUCUUCUUCUUCUCGUCUUGUUCUUCCUCCUGCUUCACAGAGAGCCGAGAGAAGGGAGAAGAGAGGGAGAAAGGGGCGCUGGUGCUCCGGUGGUCGAGAGGCUGCGACGUCGGCGGCAAAACAUGUUCCUGAGCGACGCGCAUCCAGGGAGGGUGGUAGCUAGCUAAGGUGGAGAGUGAGAUGGCCGGAACGGCGACGGCAGGAGCUCAACCAUGG